UGGGGAAUAUUGCGCAAUGGGGGAAACCCUGACGCAGCAACGCCGCGUGAGUGAUGAAGGUCUUCGGAUUGUAAAACUCUGUCUUUGGGGACGAUAAUGACGGUACCCAAGGAGGAAGCCACGGCUAACUACGUGCCAGCAGCCGCGGUAAUACGUAGGUGGCAAGCGUUGUCCGGAUUUACUGGGCGUAAAGAGUAUGUAGGCGGACAUUUAAGUCAGAUGUGAAAUCCCCGGGCUUAACCUGGGAGCUGCAUUUGAUACUGGGUGUCUAGAGUGUAGGAGAGGAAAGUGGAAUUCCUAGUGUAGCGGUGAAAUGCGUAGAGAUUAGGAAGAACACCAGUGGCGAAGGCGACUUUCUGGACUAUAACUGACGCUGAGAUACGAAAGCGUGGGGAGCAAACAGG
rnacentral:rRNA from 2 species